UACGGAGGGAGCUAGCGUUGUUCGGAAUUACUGGGCGUAAAGCGCGCGUAGGCGGUUUUUUAAGUCAGAGGUGAAAGCCCAGUGCUCAACACUGGAACUGCCUUUGAAACUGGAAAACUUGAAUCUUGGAGAGGUCAGUGGAAUUCCGAGUGUAGAGGUGAAAUUCGUAGAUAUUCGGAAGAACACCAGUGGCGAAGGCGACUGACUGGACAAGUAUUGACGCUGAGGUGCGAAAGCGUGGGGGAGCAAACAGGAUUAGAUACCCUGGUAGUCCACGCCGUAAACGAUGAUAACUAUCUGUUCGGGCUCAUAGAGCUUGAGUGGAGCAGCUAACGCAUUAAGUUAUCCGCCUGGGGAGUACGGUCGCAAGAUUAAAACUCA
rnacentral:rRNA from 1 species